rnacentral:misc_RNA from 1 species
ACCUCGUCUGUGAUGCUCCCUCUCACCUGCGCUUAAGCCCACGCACACAGGAUCUAUCCGCACGCCCUACUUCUCGAACUGCUCACCCGCGUCGAUUCUACAGAUUUUGUUGCCAUUCACUUUGAAGUCAAGUGGAGUCAUCAUGGCGACGGACCUCGAUUCCUUUAGCACGUACAUUGAUCACCUCAUUCUGCUCCUGGCGGCACGCUUCCAUGCACCGCUGGACGUAUCCGUUGAGGAGUUGCUGCCCAGCAGCCUGAACUUGUCAGCCGAGGCACAAUGCCCGUGGGAGCUGGUUGCCUGCUCCGUGCAGCAGGCGCUCCGCACACCGCAAACAGCUCAGGAGCGCCUCCUGAUGCGCCAUCUAGACGUGCACCACUUCUCGGCGUCGGUGUGUAGGGAGAGGGCUCGCUACAUGCAGUGGAAGCUGCAGGAGUGCCGGCGUCGCCGCGGCGAAAAGCAGCAGCUUGUGCAGUCAGCAGCAGUGCCGUCAGCAGCCCGAACAAACACGAGCUCCACUGCCGCUGCAAAUGCUAUAGCCGCGGGCCAGCCCUGCGAUGUGACAUGCACAUCUCUUCACAACGAUGCUUGCUCUCUCUACAAGCUGGUGCGCCAGUCGCUGCCCUGUACGCUGGGCGGCACCGAGAGCGACGACGACGACAACGAGGAUGCGCAGGCGCCAACGGCGUCGGUGAAGUCGGUAGCGUUCGCGAGUGAGCCAUCCGCAUUCGAGAGAGUUCAUGAGGUGUUCAUGCGUACCCCGUCCGAGCAGGAGCGCGAUGAGCUAGUCGCCCGCGCGCGGGACGAGUUUCUGAGUCAGGUGCAAGCACUGCAGUCAGCUUACUACGACAAGUAUCACCGCUGGAUGGACGUGCCGGCAAGCGUCUUGGACCCUCCUCCCGCGUCGAGCAAGCAACCUGCGAGCACAGACGCCGCUGCCGCUGCGUUCGAGAGCGCUGCACCGCAGCAUGGCUCAGAGAGUGAGCGGGCGGCGUUGCUGGGGGCCCUCGGGGCGGCAGCACCACCACCGCCUCGUCCCAGGACACAGGCGAAUUACACCAACACUAGCGGCGCCGCUGACCGCACAGAGAAACCCCAUACCCUCGCCUCCAUGCUCCGCCAGGUGCAGCUACGGCGCCCUUUGCGCCCCUCUGCUGUGCCGGAUGACGUGCUGGAGAGCAUGUACCGCGCGCGCGCCGAGUCUGAGGGGGCGCCAAAGAACCUGUGCGUCUCUAGUGGCUUGCGCAGCUCUCCCCCUGCAGCCUCCACCUCCGCUACUCCGUCGUUCGCCGUUGGUUCUGCUGAUGCCAUAACCGCGGAAGCUGUAGCUGUCGCGUCAUCAUCAUCACAGCCUUCAUCCUCCGUGGCAGCGGUUCGAAAGGACACGGUGCCGCCAGCGAGCCGCCGCGGCCGCUGGCAGAUUGUCGAGUACGACGAUGACGAUGAUGGCGAAGGAUAGCGGCUCAUCAGUCAUGGCCUUUUUUUUUUGACUUUGAGGCUCCCGCGAUGGAAGUGAAUUAACGGCGUUCAUGGAUACUGGAAGAGAGCGGAGCGAUUCUUUAGCGGCAGCAUGUACAUAUAUGCCGACCCCGAGCAUCUGCCGCGCGCAUGCGUGCGUUUUUUUUGUUUGUUUGGCUUCGCUGGUGCACCUCUCUCUGUCGAAGCCCGCAAAGAUGUAUGGAUUCGCGUACCACCAUCGACAUGCAUACACAGAGGUAAGAGGUGCCCGCGCAUAUCCGAACCUGCCUAUUCAUGUGCAUCCUCGCUCUCCUUCUUUGUUUUUGCACUUGUGUUGUGUUCAUGUGAGCGUUAG